GCUGGGUAUGGUGGCACAUGCCUGUAGUCCCAGCUACUCCAGUGGCUGAGGCAGAAAGAAUGCUUAAACCCUGGAGUUCUGAGCUGUAGUGUGCUAUGCUGAUAAGUGUCUGCACUAAGUUUGGCAUCAAUAUGGUGACCUCACAGGAGCAGGGGACUACCAGGUUGCCUAAAGAAGGAUGAACUGGACAUGUCGUAAACAAAGCAGGUCAAAACUACUUUGCUGAUCAGUAGUAGGAUCAUGCCUAUGAGUAGCCACUGCACUCCAGCCUGGGCAACAUAGAAAGACCCCAUCUCUU
rfam:Gorilla gorilla gorilla genomic chromosome, chr2A, whole genome shotgun sequence